GGAGGGUGCGAGCGUUGUUCGGAAUUACUGGGCGUAAAGCGCGUGUAGGCGGCCUUGCAAGUCAGGCGUGAAAGCCCUCGGCUUAACCGGGGAAGUGCGUCUGAAACUGCUUGGCUUGAGUACGGGAGAGGGAGGCGGAAUUCCCAGUGUAGAGGUGAAAUUCGUAGAUAUUGGGAGGAACACCGGUGGCGAAAGCGGCCUCCUGGACCGAUACUGACGCUGAGACGCGAAAGCGUGGGGAGCAAACAGGAUUAGAUACCCUGGUAGUCCACGCGGUAAACGAUGGGCACUAGGUGUGGGGGGUAUCCACUCCUCCCGUGCCGAAGCUAACGCAUUAAGUGCUCCGCCUGGGGAGUACGGCCGCAGGGUUA
rnacentral:rRNA from 1 species